AGUAUCAUCGCUUUCCCCUAGGGUUGGAUCAGGAGCUAGAGAUCAAGCGAGGGGACGGAAAGCGGGGUCGAUUGAGCAGCGAAGAGUUCAUCUCUCUUUUCAAGGAGAUCUCCACCCGGCCGGAGAUCUACUUCCUUCUCGUGAGGAUGCAACGAGUGACGAAGGACAAAUGUUUGGAGAUUAUCAACAAGUUUGAGCCGUCCACAGAAGGCCGUCGGAAAGGACAGCUUGGCAUCGACAAUCUCGUGUGCUUGGACCACACACACACGCACACAUGCUCAGAAGUGCUGGGAGAUCAACUCUUUCAGUGGUCACAGGCUCUCAAGCUGGCCAUGUCAUUCCCGGAAGAGUUUGUCAACCACAACAAGAAGUUCCUGUCUCGUAUCUACCCCAAUGGCAUGAGGAUUGACUCCAGUAACUACAACCCUCAAGAUCUCUGGAACUGCGGUUGUCACAUGGUGGCCUUGAACUUCCAGACAGCGGGUCUGAUGAUGGACCUCUACCACGGAUGGUUCCAGAAGAACGGUGGCUGUGGGUACACCCUCAAACCUGCCAUCAUGAGAGAGGAGAUUGCUUACUUCAGCGCCAACACAAGAGAUGUCAUUCCUGGCAUCUCGCCGCAGAUACUUCAUGUUAAAAUAAUCAGUGGCCAGAACUUUCCUAAACCUAAGGGCUCAGCUGCUAAAGGUGAUGUGACUGACCCUUAUGUGACCAUUGAGGUUUUUGGCAUCCCUUCAGAUUGUGCAGAGGAAAGAACAAAGACUGUUCCUCACAAUGGCUACAACCCGAUCUUUGAUGAGAGUUUUGAGUUCCAGAUAAACCUGCCUGAGCUGGCUCUGGUCAGGUUUGCAAUUCUGGAUGAUGACUACAUUGGGGACGAGUUCAUUGGACAGUACACAAUUCCCUUUGAGUGUAUGCAAACAGGUUAUCGGCACAUUCAGUUGUUGUCCAACACAGGCAGUGUAAUGGAAAACUGUACGCUAUUCAUUCAUGUGGCCAUCACCAACAAGCGCGGAGGAGGGGUGAACAAACGAGGCCUGUCUGUGAAGAAAACUCGGCGCUCUCGAGACUACACCAGCAUGAAGUCUGUUGGGGUCAAGAGCAUUGAUGAAACUUUUAAGAUGGCCAUCCAACCUCUGCGGGAGGGAACUGACCUGCGGGACAAUGUCCAGCUGUCCCUGGCCACCUUCAAGGACUCAUGUUGUUUAGCCCCUAUCGCCAACCUCAAGCAGUGCAUCCGGCUCUUGUCCUCCAGAAUCGCAAACUCGGGAGAGUCUGUCUCACUCUCUUACUCCAUGAGAGGGGAUUAUCCAUAUAUUGAGGCUCAAGGUACCCUUCCAGAAAUUUUCAAGAAGUCUUUAAGCUCAUUCGAAGAGCUCAUCAAUGAAUGCAGAAGCAUGAUUCAAAAUGCUGACACUGUCUAUGAAAAGUUACUUCACUGUCAGCGUGCAGGCUUGGAAUGGCAUGAGGAGUUGGAGAACUUCUGUCAGCAGGCAGGACUCAAGGGACGCAAGCUGGUUAAGGCAGCAGAGAACUUUGCCUGGAAUAUCCGAGUUCUGAAGGGCCAAGCAGACCUGCUGGUUCAGGCCAAGAAAGACUGCCAGGAAUACAUCAGACAGAUCAAAGAAGCUGCUGUGUCCACUGGUCUGGCAAAGGGGGAAGUUGCAGGUCAGACAGAUGUCCCCAGCUCACCGACGUCUGAUGAAGAUCCUCCAGCUCUCUUAUUAGAAGAGUCAUGA
rnacentral:sRNA from 1 species